rnacentral:rRNA from 1 species
AGCGAACGCUGGCGGCAGGCCUAACACAUGCAAGUCGAACGAACCCUUCGGGGUUAGUGGCGGACGGGUGAGUAACACGUGGGAACGUGCCUUUAGGUUCGGAAUAACUCAGGGAAACUUGUGCUAAUACCGAAUGUGCCCUUCGGGGGAAAGAUUUAUCGCCUUUAGAGCGGCCCGCGUCUGAUUAGCUAGUUGGUGAGGUAAUGGCGCACCAAGGCUACGAUCAGUAGCUGGUCUGAGAGGAUGACCAGCCACAUUGGGACUGAGACACGGCCCAAACUCCUACGGGAGGCAGCAGUGGGGAAUCUUGCGCAAUGGGCGAAAGCCUGACGCAGCCAUGCCGCGUGGAUGAUGAAGGUCUUAGGAUUGUAAGAUCCUUUCACCGGUGAAGAUAAUGACUGUAGCCGGAGAAGAAGCCCCGGCUAACUUCGUGCCAGCCGCCGCAGUAAGAC